rnacentral:rRNA from 1 species
AUUGAACGCUGGCGGCAGGCUUAACACAUGCAAGUCGAGCGGAGCGAAGGUGCUUGCACCUUAGCUUAGCGGCGGACGGGUGAGUAAUGCUUAGGAAUCUGCCUAUUAGUGGGGGACAACGUUUCGAAAGGAACGCUAAUACCGCAUACGUCCUACGGGAGAAAGCAGGGGAUCUUCGGACCUUGUGCUAAUAGAUGAGCCUAAGUCGGAUUAGCUAGUUGGUGGGGUAAAGGCCUACCAAGGCGACGAUCUGUAGCGGGUCUGAGAGGAUGAUCCGCCACACUGGGACUGAGACACGGCCCAGACUCCUACGGGAGGCAGCAGUGGGGAAUAUUGGACAAUGGGCGAAAGCCUGAUCCAGCCAUGCCGCGUGUGUGAAGAAGGCCUUUUGGUUGUAAAGCACUUUAAGCGAGGAGGAGGAGCUUCAGGUUAAUACCCUGGAUGCUUGGACGUUACUCGCAGAAUAAGCACCGGCUAACUCUGUGCCAGCCGCCGCCGUAA